rnacentral:rRNA from 1 species
GAAGGAACGUUGAAGACGACGACGUUGAUAGGCUGGGUGUGUAAGUGCAGCGAUGCAUUGAGCUAACCAGUACUAAUGAUCCGUGAGGCUUAACCUU